CGUCCCGAUAUGACUCUUUAGCCUGGGAAUUUCUAUAUGCUGCAGGUGCAGCCAUAACAAGAAAAAAAAAAAUUGGGAAACUAAUAAUCUCAUAGAGGGCCUCCAGCAUGCGGCAUUGCUGUCUAAAGAAAGUGGUAGGGUGAAACCGGGGUAAGAUUUAUGGCCUCUCUCCAAAGGUUACUGAGCACCUACCUGCAGUGGGCCAGGCGUCUGGAAGGAGCGGGGCUGACUGUGGCGAGCAGCACACUGUCCUUGCCCUCAUGAACCACACGGCCUGUUAUAUCAGAGACUUCAUCAGCGGGGAGCAUGAGUUCCACUGAAAAUAGACUUGGCCACAUUCUGUCCUUGUCUGGCACACAUCGUGCUGCAGCAGAGCUCCGGUUCCAGCUGAUCCUUCCCGCUGGCUCUUAAUUCUCCCAAGAAUUUCUCCUCAGGGAAUUGAAAAGUGUCCCUUUCUCCUUCCUUUUCCUCAAGGUGAAGAUGCUGCCUUGGGUAAAAUGACACUUACAAGCUCCCCAUUUUGUAAAGAGAAGGACCAUGGCUUGAACCCGCAUAGCACCAAGUACAAGGCAACAUGAAGCUGGAUCCAAAUGGAAGGUCACUCAGUUGCUGCUCACCUGUCAGGUAAGGACUGCAACAGAAACGUGUCUCUCAAACAAGAGACAUUUUGGCGAGAGGAUCCAGUCAUGCUCUAAGUGUAUAUCCUGGAGGGACAAACCUGAAAUUGAAAUAGCAAAGUGAGAAUUGUAGAAGAACUUCCAAGGACACUGUGAACUGACCAAAACCACUGAAAGGCAGGACUGACCUUCCUUCUUUUAUUCCCAGGGAACGGUAGCUUGCAUGUGGCCAUUUGGAAGGGUCAUGUCAUAAAUCCAGAUAUUAUAGUUAUUAUGAUUCAAUAUAAUUUUAUUUUGUUCCUCAAAUUAUUCCAUCUUUGGUCAUUGUGAGCUUUUUAAGUUGUCUCCUGGGUUAUUUUGACAUACAUUCAUCAUUGUGGGUAUUUAUAUAUAAAUUAGUACUACCUUAUUAUCAGAUGUUUAAGGCUCAUCUUACACAUUUCCUGCUCCAGUCCUAGAAUCAGCCAUUUUUACAAAAAGGCUUAGUUGGUUCUCU
rnacentral:lncRNA from 1 species